rnacentral:sRNA from 1 species
GAACGGUUCUCGCCUUAAGUCAGGUUCA